GGGGUUGUGGCUCAGUGUUAGAGCGCUUGCCUUGCACGUGUGAAACACUGGGUUUGAUCCUCAACCCCA
rnacentral:tRNA from 1 species